rnacentral:rRNA from 1 species
UACAGGGGGGGCAAGCGUUGUUCGGAAUUACUGGGCGUAAAGGGCUCGUAGGUGGCCAACUAAGUCAGACGUGAAAUCCCUCAGCUUAACUGGGGAACUGCGUCUGAUACUGCAUGGCUUGAGUUUGGGAGAGGGAUGCGGAAUUCCAGGUGUAGCGGUGAAAUGCGUAGAUAUCUGGAGGAACACCGGUGGCGAAGGCGGCAUCCUGGACCAACACUGACGCUGAGGAGCGAAAGCCAGGGGAGCAAACGGG